rnacentral:rRNA from 1 species
UUAGGUUCUAGCGAGCCCAACCUCCCACCCGUGUUUACUGUACCUUAGUUGCUUCGGCGGGCCCGCCAUUCAUGGCCGCCGGGGGCUCUCAGCCCCGGGCCCGCGCCCGCCGGAGACACCACGAACUCUGUCUGAUCUAGUGAAGUCUGAGUUGAUUGUAUCGCAAUCAGUUAAAACUUUCAACAAUGGAUCUCUUGGUUCCGGCAUCGAUGAAGAACGCAGCGAAAUGCGAUAACUAGUGUGAAUUGCAGAAUUCCGUGAAUCAUCGAGUCUUUGAACGCACAUUGCGCCCCCUGGUAUUCCGGGGGGCAUGCCUGUCCGAGCGUCAUUGCUGCCCAUCAAGCACGGCUUGUGUGUUGGGUCGUCGUCCCCUCUCCGGGGGGGACGGGCCCCAAAGGCAGCGGCGGCACCGCGUCCGAUCCUCGAGCGUAUGGGGCUUUGUCACCCGCUCUGUAGGCCCGGCCGGCGCUUGCCGAACGCAAAUCAAUCUUUUCCAGGUUGACCUCGGAUCAGGUAGGGAUACCCGCUGAACUUAAGCAUAUCAAUAAGCGGAGGAA